rnacentral:rRNA from 1 species
AUACGGAGGGUGCAAGCGUUACUCGGAAUCACUGGGCGUAAAGGACGCGUAGGCUGGUUGGUAAGUCAGAUGUGAAAUCCUACAGCUUAACUGUAGAACUGCAUUUGAAACUGCUGACCUCGAGUAUGGGAGGGGGAGAUGGAAUUAGUGGUGUAGGGGUAAAAUCCGUAGAUAUCACUAGGAAUACCGAAAGCGAAGGCGAUCUCCUGGAACAUUACUGACGCUGAGGCGUGAAAGCGUGGGGAGCAAACGGGAUUAGAAACCCCAGUAGUCC